UACGUAGGGCGCAAGCGUUGUCCGGAAUUAUUGGGCGUAAAGAGCUCGUAGGCGGCUUGUUGCGUCGGUUGUGAAAGCCCGGGGCUUAACCCCGGGUCUGCAGUCGAUACGGGCAGGCUAGAGUGUGGUAGGAGAGAUCGGAAUUCCUGGUGUAGCGGUGAAAUGCGCAGAUAUCAGGAGGAACACCGGUGGCGAAGGCGGAUCUCUGGGCCGAAACUGACGCUGAGGAGCGAAAGCGUGGGGAGCAAACAGG
rnacentral:rRNA from 1 species